rnacentral:rRNA from 1 species
CAGUCGAGCGGCAGCACAAGGGAGUUUACUCCUGAGGUGGCGAGCGGCGGACGGGUGAGUAAUGCCUAGGGAUCUGCCCAGUCGAGGGGGAUAACAGUUGGAAACGACUGCUAAUACCGCAUACGCCCUACGGGGGAAAGAGGGGGACCUUCGGGCCUCUCGCGAUUGGAUGAACCUAGGUGGGAUUAGCUAGUUGGUGAGGUAAUGGCUCACCAAGGCGACGAUCCCUAGCUGUUCUGAGAGGAUGAUCAGCCACACUGGGACUGAGACACGGCCCAGACUCCUACGGGAGGCAGCAGUGGGGAAUAUUGCACAAUGGGGGAAACCCUGAUGCAGCCAUGCCGCGUGUGUGAAGAAGGCCUUCGGGUUGUAAAGCACUUUCAGUAGGGAGGAAAGGGUGAGUCUUAAUACGGCUCAUCUGUGACGUUACCUACAGAAGAAGGACCGGCUAACUCCGUGCCAGCAGCCGCGGUAAUACGGAGGGUCCGAGCGUUAAUCGGAAUUACUGGGCGUAAAGCGUGCGCAGGCGGUUUGUUAAGCGAGAUGUGAAAGCCCUGGGCUCAACCUAGGAAUAGCAUUUCGAACUGGCGAACUAGAGUCUUGUAGAGGGGGGUAGAAUUCCAGGUGUAGCGGUGAAAUGCGUAGAGAUCUGGAGGAAUACCGGUGGCGAAGGCGGCCCCCUGGACAAAGACUGACGCUCAUGCACGAAAGCGU